GCUGCAGUGACCUAGAGGUCAGGUGCUUGACUUAUAAGGCGAAACCCAAUCGUUGUCACUUUACGCGGGUUCGAGUCCCGCCUGCAGCG